UCUCGCGCCGCCGCGGUCUCUCUCUCUCUCUCCACAUGAGGCAGUGCACCAGGUGGGCACCUGCACUGGCCGCUCUCCGACGCGGUGGCGCACCAGUGCCUCCGGAAUUUGGCCAUGGCCGGAUCCAGGGCGGCGGCGGCUAUGCCCUCCCCUGUGCUAGGCGCACCUCCCUCUCAGGGCGGCAGCAGCUAUCCCCUCCUUUGUGCGAGGCGCCCCCCCUCUCUCUGUCCCUAUGCUCUAUCGACAUGGUGGUACAACAGCCGGCGGUGGCCACGGCCACGAGCCCUCUCCUCCUCCCCCGAUAUGGCUCAAUGCGGAUGGGUCUCGACCAUGCCGUUGCCAGCGCAGGGCAGAAGUAUGGCCUGGAAAGCAGCUCGUCCUCAUCUUCAUGCCUCUUCCUUUGUCCCACUAUGGUUGUGCAUAGGGCUCAAUACUGCCACAUUUGGUAUAGAGCAGCCUCAGGUCCAUUACAAUUUUGAAUGUUGAUUGAUUUGCAGUAGAGGGCACGCCAUCACUACUGCUUGCCAACUUAUCUGACCACAAAGUGGUGGUAACAUAUUUCCCUUGUCAGCAGAGCAGCGAUGUUCAACUCCAGUAACAUUCUGCAUAUGUUCAACUCCAGUAACAUUUUGGAUAGGCAGACUACUCUGAGCAGCAGAAAUUUUGCAGGCCUUUAAAAGACCAUGUUGGUUUGGAAAGACAAAUGUCACUGGGAAUUAAUGUUAUUUAUCUCACCAUUUCCUCUGAAUUAUAUAGGCGCUGCAGUUGUAUUUUCAUGACAUGUUUAUGGCAUACUCAUAAUUGAGCCAGCUGAGAUCAAGGUAAACAUAUGUAACUUUUCUCUUACCGAUCGACAUGGAAGACAUGUAGGAUGUAGUCCAGAACAGCUUCACAGUUGUUGCUUACAUGAUUUUUUGUGGUCAUACAUUGCUCCAUAAACUGCCUUUUGCUGUAUUAUAAGUCUAGAUGGGUUAAUUUGUGUUUGUUUAUUUUCAGAUAAAAAUGAUUGCAGGUUUAUACACAAAAAAUUGAUGGCUUCAUUUGUAUUUGCGAACCCAGCCAAAAAUGGUCACAUGUUUAGUUUAAUGAAAUUUUGGGAUGGUUGUUGUAGGUUUGGCUCUCAACUUUUUCUUUUUUUUUUGUUUCUGCCUAUACAAUCUGCUACAUGCCAGCCUUCUUUUCCAGAAGUCCCUUUCCAAUCUUAUUUUUUUACUGCUCCCACUGACCUUUACAGUAUGCCGUCUAAUGAAAAUAGUGGGAACCAAAAAGUGUUAGUGGACAAAAAUUAGUAUGUACACUUUGCAGGUUAUCAGCUUCCUUCAUGCCUUAUUUGUACUAAUGUUUGCUUUCAUCACAAAGUGUACAUACUAAUUUUUGAUAUUUCAGCCUCAUGAUGCUUAAACCUAAUCAGAAUGUUAUUAUUUUUUUCCAGUUGAGUAUCCACGCCUAGCUCAGAUAGAAAGACGGAUACAAGAUCUUGAAUCUACUCUCCCACUUGACAAUGGUUUGGAAAAAGUAGCAUCAUAUAUGUUGAGCCCUAAAAUAUACACAUCUUGGCUCGAACAGCCCUGAACUCCCAUCGCCAACAACUAACUGUGCUUGCUUGUGCUAAUUCUGGCUCUUUGUCGAUGAUGUGGUCAUUCCAGUCAGGGGUUUUUUUUAGGUUCUCCUGCAGGUUGUGGUCAUUUAAUGUUUCUCUACUUCCAUUUGUCAUGUACCUUUUUAAGCCUUAUAUAUCCCCUUCCAGUUUCAGUUUUCAUUUGCUUUUGAAAUGGAAUGUCUAUAGUUUGCAUAGAUGCAACUUCACAUUGGUUGAUGUUAUUUCCUCAAUUCGUUCCAUGAAUUUCAGCUAACAUUGAUCUUCUAUGGGUUCAAUUUUAAAUUUAUGUUCCAAUUAUUUUCUUAUAUUUUUCAGCCCUAAAAUAUACACAUCUCGGUUCGAACAGCCCUGAACUCCCAUCGCCAACAACUAAAUUGUGCUUGCUUGUGCUAAUUCUGGCUCUUUGUCGAUGAUGUGGUCAUUCGAGUCAGGAUUUUUUUAGGUUCUCCUGCAGGUUGUGGUCAUUUAAUGUUUCUCUACUUCCAUUUGUCAUGUACCUUUUUAAGCCUUCUAUAUCCCCUUCCAAUUUCAGUUUUCAUUUGCUUUUGAAAUGGAAUGUCUAUAGUUUACAUAGAUGCAACCUUACAUUGGUUGAUGUUAUUUCCUCAUUUUGUUCCUAUGUACAGCAAAGAAAAAGGUGAAGAAGGCAGUCACAUUUACUAUACAUAGUAGAUCAAGAAAAUAGUUGCACACCUCUUGCUGAAGUUCAUGGAGGCAUCGGCCACAAGAGUGUCGUCCUUCUCAGGCAACAGAUGAUGCUUCCUGUCAAUCGCUAAUUGGGUUUGCACAACUGUCGUGUUGUUGACUGAUAAGGACCUUGUCAACUAGACCAUCAAAGCAGACUUAGUGGAUAUCCACGUGAGUACAAGCAUUAGCUUCUAUAUGUUGUUUCACC